UUGUUCUGUGGUGAGAGAGGGGGCUUUGUGGGGUUGUUUUGGGUACUUUCCUUCCAUUUUGUGGGUGCUGUGGUUGGCCUGGAGCAAGGACCUACCUGAAACCUGGCCUCAGUUUAUGGAAAUAGCAGUCACUGCUCUGCAGCCUGGAGAAGCUGGAGGAUGUGGAUGGAAGCUUCUGACCCCGCUGUUUGCUGCAACCACUCGGGAGACUUUCCUCUGCAAAAAGGCACAAAGCCCUCAUCAUCCUCUGCGAGGAGCACCGUGCACACUCGUUUCCUGCCUGCAGGGCUGGGAAGAGAACAGCGAGGCUCGAGGACACCGGUGAGGACGGCAGACCCACAGGGCUCCCAACAGCGCCUCGAAUGCUCGCUCCUGAACCGCUCUCACCGAUGUUCCGAAUCACCUUGCGCAUACAGUGAAACUACAGGCAGGAGCUCGCUAAGC